AUUCUUCUGGAGCUGGAGAUGAACUCGGACCUCAAGGCCCAGCUCAGGGAACUGAUUAUUACAGCAGCGAGGGAAACUGAAGUUGGUGGUGGUGAGAAAAUCAUAAUCUUUGUUCUUCUUCUGCCACUGAAAUAAUUCCAGAACAUCCAAGUCUGGCUAGUACGUGAAUUGGAGAAAAAGUUCACUGGUAAGUAUGUCGUCUAUUGCUUAGAGGAAAAUUCUGCCUAAACCAACUCAAAAAAGGUGUACAAAAAAUAAGCAAAAGCGUCCCAGGAUCCACGCUCCGACAGCUGCGCACGUCGCAAUCCUCGAGGACUCGGUCUUCCCAGGUGAAAUUGUGGGCAGGAGAAUCCGCGUGAAAUGGACACAGCAGCUCACAAGGGUUCAUUCGGACAAAGCCCAGCAGAACAACGUGGAACGCAAGGUCCAAACUUUUUCUGGUAUCGAUAAGAAGCUCACAGCCAAGGCUGUUAAUUCUGAAUCCCCAGAGUUCCCAG
rnacentral:lncRNA from 1 species